AGUUACUGCUAUCGAGGUUCGACUAAGCCAUGCGAGUCGAAUGUAGCAAUACAUGGCGUACUGCUCAGUAACACGUGGAUAACCUACCCUCAGAACGGGGAUAAACCCGGGAAACUGGGUAUAAUACCCGAUAGAUCUCGGAGGCUGGAAUGCAUCGAGAUCAAAAGCUCCGGCGUCUGAGGAUGGAUCUGCGGCCUAUCAGGUAGUAGUGGGUGUAGCGUACCUACUAGCCUACGACGGGUACGGGUUGUGAGAGCAAGAGCCCGGAGAUGGAUUCUGAGACACGAAUCCAGGCCCUACGGGGUGCAGCAGGCGCGAAAACUUUACAAUGCUGGCAACAGCGAUAAGGGGACCUCGAGUGCCAGGUUACAAAUCUGGCUGUCGAGAUGCCUAAAAAGCAUUUCAUAGCAAGGGCCGGGCAAGACCGGUGCCAGCCGCCGCGGUAACACCGGCGGCUCGAGUGGUAACCGUUAUUAUUGGGUCUAAAGGGUCUGUAGCCGGCCGGAUAAGUCUCUUGGGAAAUCUGGCAGCUUAACUGUCAGGCUUUCAGGAG
rnacentral:rRNA from 1 species